CUCGUGAUCCCUUUCUUGCUCCCUCUCCCUCGCAGCCGCCCUCCCGGCAAUCACGGAAGCGCCCCUGCCACUGCCGUCCUCCACUGCACGAGCGUCGCCGCCCUGGCCUCCUCUGCUGUGUGCGGGAACUCGCCGCGCCCGAUUUGCCACCACCACAAGCGAAAGAGGGAUCAAGAAGCGAGAUCCAUAUUGAACCAAUCUCGCCGAACCUUUCCCGGUGGAGAUGCAGCAGAAGAGACGGAACAAGAUCGUGCUAACUGUGUUGCUGCUGACGGGGGCGGCGGUGCUGAUCGUGGGCACGCUAGAGCUGUUGAUACCGACGACCUUGACGUAUUGACGUGGCUGUGAAGCUCAAGGAAUCACAGGAGAAGAUGCGCAACAGAUCAUCUCCGACUUCUUUAAGGUCUACCAGUUCGAGAAGCUCUUCGCCAAGCGCAGCUACCCCGUCGGAUGGACCUCUACGCAUUCCUUGGCCACGUUGGUGCCAAGGCAUCAUGUGAUUGAUAGUCCAUUUACUCAUCUUCUCCGAUGGUCCAGAUGAUGAAUUGUUGGGGCCACUGUGCUUCGCGUAAUUUGAUAUCCUGCAAGGUGAUUGCAGGGCUGUUGAAAAGCAGGUGAGGGGCACUUUGGUUAGUUGUGCCUGAUGGGAUUCUUCGAUUAUGAUUGCAGGGCUGUUGAAAAGCAGGUGAGGGGCACUUUGGUUAGUUGUGAACGAUGAACAAUUUUCAGGGAAGAAAAGUGAGUUCAAUACUUCAAAUGCUAAAUUUAGGCGUACCGCGUACGUCAUGUGCUCGAUGGACUGGAGUGCCCAUGAUAAGUCGAGGUACGACAUGCUAGAAAUAGCUUACCAUGAUGCAUGGCUUGAAGUAAAUAAUCCUGGUUUUGCAAGUUUUGCAGUAAUUACCUAUUGACUGUUUGAGAAUGCAUAUUUUUCAGAAGGAGAUGAUUUGUUCUAUUUCUAUUGUUAAUUAAUGGAGUUAAUGUUUCCUAAAUAAUUGAGUAUGAAACACACUCUUUGGUAUUAUCCCAUCUAUAUGUUGGUUUGAUUCUAUGGUCAACUACUUUGCUGGGAAAUCUUAUCUUCAACAACGUGUUGCAAGUGAGGAUGAGGAGCAGAGUCGGCGAGAGCUCCAGGGGCCACAGCUGAGGUGGACAGGACGAGUGUCGCAGGAGGCAGCGAUGAGGUCGUGCAGAUGAGGAUGAGAGAUUCAGAGGAUCGAGAAGGAUUGAAAGAGCUGGUAGAUGGAGGUGGAAGAGAUAGGGAUGUGAGGGAAUUGAGAGAGUUGAGAGCAGGGAAUAUUAUUUCUCCUAUUUUCACUUGCUAAUAGGGUUGCAGAUUUGCUGCAGAAAAAAGAACUGUAGGCAUCUGUUAGUCAUAUAAUCAACAACCAGCGGCCAGUCUGAGAGCAAUGCAAAACUGGUUGAUGCCUCGAUGUUGGCCUUGCGUUUAUGUGAUAGGUCAAGACAGCUGACAUGGCCUGCAGUUACACUCCCGAGAAAAAUAGAUUGCAUUUAAAGCCUCGAUCAUGCUUGGUUCAGGCCGUAAAUUAUGGUGGCUGCUAGAUACUUGACAUGGUCCACCAUAGUUUUUGGUUGCAAGUUGUAGCGCUUCUGCAAGUGUACAGUAUGAGCAUAAGAUCAUAUGGCUUAUUUUUGUACUCAGGUCAGAAAAAUUAUGUAGUAACUGGAUCCUGGUCCAGUAGAGAUUUAUCGUUAGUGGAGGUGCUUGUCUUCCUUUUGGCACUUACACUUCCAGUCAAAGGAUGGGAUCAUCCACAUCUAAUGAUUUAUUUGACACAAUGCUUUAGUGUUAACUGGUCAUGUUAAUGCUAUGUUAUAAAUGUUUUUUUGCUUCGAUUUUCAAGGGGCGAUGCGUAGUGGGACAAUGCGAACGUAUGCUGACCCCAGUGCCAUGGAGCUGUCAUUUUGCAGCAAGGUUCCCUUUUACAUGACCCUUUCAGUUGUUAUUGUGAUUCUGAAUUCUGCUGUGUUUAAUUCAGUUCAUGCAUCAAAUAUUUUAUCCCGUUCAAUAACUGUCCCCACACAUGUAUAGGAUACUCUGGUGAAGUUCUAUUAUGUAGAUACCAGGUACAACCAAGGGUGU